GUUGAAGUUCAGCGUCAAACUCCACAAAUUAAUGACAAUUACACAUCGUGUAUUUAACAUAACAUUCCUUCAAAAAGGCAUGUUAGCUAAACGCUAACAUAUAGUGGGAAACGACAUUGACAUGCUAACGGCUAGCAUCGACAGCUGCGAGAGAGCCGAGUACAAAGGUAGAGCAACACGUAUAAAGAUUGUCACAAUACUCACGAGCAUAUAU